rnacentral:lncRNA from 1 species
CUUUUGUCCCUAUCACUGGAGAAUGGGUUUGGUGCUUUGAGCUGUGUUUCUACAUAAAAAAGAAGGAAUCAAAGUGAUGCUGGUGUGACAAUAUAACAUUUGAAGCUGCUCCAAACAACUUUGACUGUAAGAAAAAGGCCAAGAGAAUACAAGAGGCUCUAACCAAGGACUCUGACUUCACUAAGCCACUGAAACAUUCCUGGCACUACCUACCUCCUGCCUUUUCGUUAUGGGAGGAAACCCUAUUGGUUAGGUCACUGGUUUAAAACACGUCCUUUAAAAUUGCAGAGGAAGAAAAGGCUUGGAGGUGAUAAAGGAAUAAAUAAGUUCAUUCCCUUGAUUAUGGUGAUGGUUUCAUAGGCAUAUGCAUAUGUCCAAACUCAUCAACUUGUAUACAUCAAAUAUGUGCAAUUUACUGUAUAUCCACCUUAU